UAUAACCUGGUGUUGUGUGAUUUUUAACUUUGUACCUUUUCCAAGUAAUUCUCCACUUAUCCCCCAUCAAAAAAAAAUUAAUUCUUUUUAAAAUUAUUUUUACAACUACUUCCAAUACUCUUUUUGGAAGUAUAAUUUUUGGGAAGUUUCAUGGAAGGUUUCCCACUGUACCUCAUGAAGCUUUUUUCUCAUUCAAUUGUACAGUAACAAAGUCAAACUUACUCGCUACCAUGUGGUCCAUCUGCCAUUCAUGCCACAGAUGCUAUACUUAAAUCCUAGCCGUGCAACACUUCAACUCCUACAAGUCAGAAACUGCCCUGUAGAUUGUGACACUGAACCAUGAUCACAUAAGUACUUAGAGAUGUUGGUGGAUGGUAAAGUGGACCUGAGAGCUGUCCUUUUUCCUGUAGACCAGCAAAGCAGGCCAUGCUACAAGAUAAAACCAGCCUGGACCCAGAUUGCAGAUGAGAUCAAUGGUAUUUCUUUCACCAAGAAGCAAUUACAUCAGUGCUGCAAGAAUCUUAAUGAUCUUCUGAGCUUUUCAAGGUGCCCUCAUCUUCCUCAGAAGACUGUUGCCAUUUCCCCAGCUCCUGAGCAUCCAUGACCUCCCUUUGCCUGGGCAAAAGUGAGGACUGCAGAUGCUGGAAACCAGAGUUUAGAUCAGAGUGGUGCUGGAAAAGUACAGCAGGUCAGGCAGCAUCCAAGGAGCAGGAAAAUUGAUGUUUCGGGCAAAAGCCCUUCAUCAGGAACCUUUGCCUGUCUGUUAUGUAGAGCUCAUCAUGCCAGGAUUAUGUUGUACUAAUGUGCUGCAAGGCCCCAUUCGUGUGAUCCAAGCUCCAGGAUCUGAUCUUGAGGAGUGCUAUAGUCUUCAAAAAUGGCCCAGAGUUUUCUUUAUGAACUUCCUGAACAUCAUCUCUUUCCUGUAUAUGUAUUUUUUCAGAAUGCCAGACAGAUAUAAAAGGAAGAUGACAAUAUAACCCUAAGAAUGGUUCAAUCACCAAGCUAAAUAUUGUUAAGUACAACUUUGUGGUUAAUGUCAAGAAUGAAAAUAAAUAUCAUUUUAUAAUUUGGAGAUGCCGGUGUUGGACUGGGGUGUACAAAGUUAAAAAUCACACA